rnacentral:rRNA from 1 species
AUACAUCAAGUCGAGCGCAGGAAGCUUUUCUGAUCCCUUCGGGGUGAAGAAGAGUGGAAUGAGCGGCGGACGGGUGAGUAACACGUGGGCAACCUACCUGUAAGAUCGGGAUAACUCGCGGAAACGUGAGCUAAUACCGGAUAACACUUUUCACCUCAUGGUGAGAAGAUGAAAGGCGGCGCAAGCUGUCACUUACAGAUGGGCCCGCGGCGCAUUAGCUAGUUGGUGAGGUAAUGGCUCACCAAGGCAACGAUGCGUAGCCGACCUGAGAGGGUGAUCGGCCACACUGGGACUGAGACACGGCCCAGACUCCUACGGGAGGCAGCAGUAGGGAAUCUUCCGCAAUGGACGAAAGUCUGACGGAGCAACGCCGCGUGAGUGAUGAAGCU